rnacentral:lncRNA from 10 species
ACGCGUGCGCGGAGGGGCUGCGCUACCCGGUCUUGGGUUUUUCAUCGGGGAGUGGGAGUGGACUGAAGGCUUGGCCGCUCCGCCUCACUGAGCCGGCUCAGCCAGCGCAGCUGUUCCUGGAACGCCAGUCCCUUAGGAUGGGAGAGAGCGGAGAAGGCAAAGAGGAACAGACUGGGAAAGAGACUGGAUAGAUUCUAAUAUGGCUACAUCCUGGUGGGAGGCAGGACACUGAAGUACUUAGAACCCCUCAGAAUGGCCAGAUCCUGCUCAUGCUUGGGCUAGAAGAAUGGAACCUUUGUAAUUCUGGACUUGUAAAUGGAAACACAUCACUUACUGUGAACCACAUCCCAGACAGACAUGGGCAGGUGAAAACAAAUUCUUCCAGGCUUGCCAUCAUCUGUUGUUUCUUGACAUUUUAAUAACACUGUUCUGACUGGCGUGAGAUGGUAUCUCAUUGUGGUUUUGAUAUGAGUUUCUUUAAUGGAAUCCAAUCAUCAGACCUCCCAGAUAAUACCAAGGAAUUGAAACUCAGCAUCUGGACAAUGAGGAACCAGGCUCCUCACCCAUCAUGGUUGCCUAACCAACCACCUGCUUCCUGUUGACCAACUUCUCUUCUUUAUCAUGCCCCCAUCCUGUUUUCCUGUACGUAGUUAUAUUUCUGCUAUAUAAACUCCUAAUUUUAGUUGAUCAGGGAGAUGGAUUUGAGACUCAUCUCUCAUCUCCUCGGCUACAGCACCUGAAUAAAGCCUUCGUCUUUGACAAUACUCAUUGGCUUUCUGUGCAGCAAGCACCAGGGCUUAGACUGAACACCUGGUGUUUAACAAACUAUCUCCACUUUUCCACAUUGCUGGUAGUUAGCUUGCUUUGAUUUUUCUUGUUUUCUCCCUUUUGUAGGAUGUGGAGCAUUUAUGUGGUUGGGAACUACAGCAUAAUAGUUCUAAACUUCUCAAUGUGUAGAGGCAGGAGAUUUUCUUGGGAUACAAUUUGGGUAGCAGACAAUUCCAAAGUAUCCAAUUUUCACAAAGUUGUAUCAGUACAGUUGCCUGCUGAAUCUGGCACAUAUUUUUCACAUAAACUUCUUCAAUAAAUUUAGUUUCAUUUUUAGUAGAACAGUGGCCAUGAGACCUACAGUCCCAAGAUUACUAAUGGUGCUGUUUCACAUACAAAGUCAGCAAUGGACAGAAACUCCUAUAACCACUAGGGCAGGCACUGCUUUCUGCAUGACACACAUCAGGUUUUUCCUCUUCCAUAAUAAAAAGACAGUGGGUAAAAUUUUCUGUAUGAUAUUUGUCUUUCUGUUUGUGAUUUGUAUUAUUUGUAUCUUUAACUCAACAAAAUAUUUGCUCUUGUACAUUCAUUUAUUACCUGUGGCUUUAAUGAGCUCUGUGUUAAUGGAGUCUUACAGUGAAAACAUCAUGCACUACUUUGAACAGUGAGGGGUAAAAGGUGGAAAAUAAUUAGUAUCUAUUUUAGGCCUGGUGGUCCAUCAGCGUCAACAGGAAGAGAGGGGAGCAGAAACAAAGUAAUGAGGAAAGGACUUUGCCCAGUAGGAUGCAGACUUAAUUAAUUCACCCCAAGCUAACCUGAAAAGAGUGGAAAAUGAACUCAAGAAUAAGAACAUGUUCAGAUUCCUGUGUGUAUAUUUUACUAAGCUUAUUUUAUCAGAAGUUUUGUCUUAACCCUUUAGGACACUACCCUAGCUUAUUUUAAU